rnacentral:ncRNA from 1 species
ACCAAGGAGUCUAACAUGUGCGCGAGCCGCGGGGCAGUACGAAACCCGUAAGGCGAAAUGAAGGUGAACGCCGGCGCGGUCCGGCGGAGGUUGGAUCCCGUCCCGUCGGGGCGGGCGCACUACCGGCCGAUCUUCUCCGCCCUGUCGGCGAGGUCGAGCGAGAGCGUGCAAGUCGGGACCCGAAAGAUGGUUUACUAUGCCUGAGGAGGUUGAAGCCAGAGGAAACUCUGGUGGAGGACCGUAGCGAUUCUGACGUGCAAAUCGAUCGUCAAAUUUGGGUAUAGGGGCGAAAGACUAAUCGAACCGUCUAGUAGCUGGUUCCCUUCGAAGUUUCCCUCAGGAUAGCUGGCGCUCUGUCGCAGUUUUAUCUGGUAAAGCGAAUGAUUAGAGGUCUUGGGGGCGAAACGCCCUCAACCUAUUCUCAAACUUUAAAUUGGUAAGAAGCCCGACUCGCUCGUUUGGAGCCGGGCAUGGAAUGCGAGUGCCAAGUGGGCCACUCUUGGUAAGCAGGACUGGCGAUGCGGGAUGAACCGAACGCCGGGUUAAGGCGCCCGACGCGACGCUCAUCAGAGCCCACAAAA